rnacentral:rRNA from 1 species
UACGGAGGGAGCUAGCGUUGUUCGGAAUUACUGGGCGUAAAGCGCACGUAGGCGGCGAUUCAAGUCAGAGGUGAAAGCCCGGGGCUCAACCCCCGGAACUGCCUUUGAAACUAGAUUGCUAGAAUCCUGGAGAGGUGAGUGGAAUUCCGAGUGUAGAGGUGAAAUUCGUAGAUAUUCGGAAGAACACCAGUGGCGAAGGCGACUCACUGGACAGGUAUUGACGCUGAGGUGCGAAAGCGUGGGAAGCAAACAGG